rfam:Gossypium raimondii Chr04_contig_1403, whole genome shotgun sequence.
UGUUAAAAAUUUCAUCAUUUUCUACUGUUAAAAGCUGAUUGAUUGAGUAAUCAGACAAUUACACAUGGCGUACUAUAUGUACCUUACACUGACAUAUAGAGACUAAUUUUUAACAAUAAAAAUAGAUAAAAAUUUUAACA